rnacentral:rRNA from 1 species
GACGAACGCUGGCGGCGUGCCUAAUACAUGCAAGUAGAACGCUGAAGAGAGGAGCUUGCUCUUCUUGGAUGAGUUGCGAGCGGGUGAGUAACGCGUAGGUAACCUGCCUGGUAGCGGGGGAUAACUAUUGGAAACGAUAGCUAAUACCGCAUAAUAGUAGAUGUUGCAUGACAUUUGCUUAAAAGGUGCAAUUGCAUCACUACCAGAUGGACCUGCGUUGUAUUAGCUAGUUGGUGAGGUAACGGCUCACCAAGGCAACGAUACAUAGCCGACCUGAGAGGGUGAUCGGCCACACUGGGACUGAGACACGGCCCAGACUCCUACGGGAGGCAGCAGUAGGGAAUCUUCGGCAAUGGACGGAAGUCUGACCGAGCAACGCCGCGUGAGUGAAGAAGGUUUUCGGAUCGUAAAGCUCUGUUGUAAGAGAAGAACGAGUGUGAGAGUGGAAAGUUCACACUGUGACGGUAUCUUACCAGAAAGGGACGGCUAACUACGUGCCAGCAGCCGCGGUAAUACGUAGGUCCCGAGCGUUGUCCGGAUUUAUUGGGCGUAAAGCGAGCGCAGGCGGUUAGAUAAGUCUGAAGUUAAAGGCUGUGGCUUAACCAUAGUACGCUUUGGAAACUGUUUAACUUGAGUGCAGAAGGGGAGAGUGGAAUUCCAUGUGUAGCGGUGAAAUGCGUAGAUAUAUGGAGGAACACCGGUGGCGAAAGCGGCUCUCUGGUCUGUAACUGACGCUGAGGCUCGAAAGCGUGGGGAGCAAACAGG